rnacentral:rRNA from 1 species
AUUGAACGCUGGCGGCAGGCCUAACACAUGCAAGUCGAACGAGUGGCGGACGGGUGAGUAAUGUCUGGGAAACUGCCCGAUGGAGGGGGAUAACUACUGGACACGGUAGCUAAUACCGCAUACUAUCCGAUGCGCCCCGAUGGGAUUAGCUUGUUGGUGGGGUAACGGCUCACCAAGGCGACGAUCCCUAGCUGGUCUGAGAGGAUUACCAGACACACAGGUACUGAGACACGGUCCAGAUUCCUACGGGAGGCAGUAAUGGUGAAUAGUGCGCGAUGGACGCAAGCCUGAUGCAGCCAUGCCGCGUGUAUGAGGAAGGCCUUCGGGUUGUAAAGUACUUUAAUCGGGGAGGCGUUACCCGCAGAAGAAGCGCCGGCUAACUCCGUGCCAGCCGCCGCGGUAAUAC